CACGUAGGGUGCGAGCGUUGUCCGGAAUUAUUGGGCGUAAAGAGCUUGUAGGCGGUUUGUCGCGUCUGCUGUGAAAAUCCGGGGCUCAACCCCGGACUUGCAGUGGGUACGGGCAGACUGGAGUGUGGUAGGGGAGACUGGAAUUCCUGGUGGAGCGGUGAAAUGCGCAGAUAUCAGGAGGAACACCCGUAGCGAAGGCGGCACUCUGGGCCGAUACUGACACUGAGGAGCGAAAGCGUGGGGAGCGAACAGG
rnacentral:rRNA from 1 species